rnacentral:rRNA from 1 species
GAUGAACGCUGGCGGCGUGCUUAACACAUGCAAGUCGAACGAUGAUCCCCAGCUUGCUGGGGGGAUUAGUGGCGAACGGGUGAGUAACACGUGAGUAACCUGCCCUUAACUCUGGGAUAAGCCUGGGAAACUGGGUCUAAUACCGGAUAUGACUCCUCAUCGCAUGGUGGGGGGUGGAAAGCUUUUGUGGUUUUGGAUGGACUCGCGGCCUAUCAGCUUGUUGGUGAGGUAAUGGCUCACCAAGGCGACGACGGGUAGCCGGCCUGAGAGGGGGACCGGCCACGCUGGGACGGAGACACGGCCCAGACUCCUACGGGAGGCAGCGGUGGGGAAUAUUGCACAAUGGGCGGAAGCCUGAUGCAGCGACGCCGCGUGAGGGAUGACGGCCUUCGGGUUGUAAACCUCUUUCAGUAGGGAAGAAGCGAAAGUGACGGUACCUGCAGAAGAAGCGCCGGCUAACUACGUGCCAGCAGCCGCCGUAAAAC